GCCGGUGUGAUGGAAUAGGUAGACGUGCCGGACUCAAAAUCCGGUGGUAGCAAUACCGUACCGGUUCGACCCCGGUCACCGGCACCA
rnacentral:tRNA from 1 species